AUGCAACAGAACUUCACCGACCUUCUUCAGUCUAGAGAGGGCACCGACGUGGUUUUCGAGGUCGGCGGCGAGACCCUCGCGGCCCGCUCUACCGUCUUCAGGGCAUUGCUCUUAGGCCCCAUGAAGAAGGAAGGCACGUCGACGGUGGUACAUGUAGAUGACAUGGACGCCACGGCGUUCGAGGCGAUGCUUGGGUUCAUUUGUGGUGAAUCUCUGCCGGUGCCGGCGGACCAUGAGAACGAGGGAGUCAUGCUACAGCACCUGCUCGUCGCGGCGGAUCGGUACGAUGUCCCGAGGCUCCGGUUGUUGUGUGAGAAGAAGCUAUGCGAGAACAUUUGCGUGAGUACGGCGAUGACCAUCUUGGCACUUGCUGAGCAGCAUGGAUGCAAUGGCCUGAAGAAGGCAUGCUACGAUUUCCUCCGGUUUCGGGAUAACCUGAGGGAGGCGUUGGCCACGGACGGCUUCGAUCAUCUCUGCAGGAGCUGCCCCACUGUUAUGAAGGACGUGAUCCUUGCCAUGCUUCAAUUUUCAUAG
rnacentral:rRNA from 1 species